GAGUUUGAUCCUGGCUCAGGACGAACGCUGGCGGCGUGCUUAACACAUGCAAGUCGAACGGAGUAUUCACGAAAGAGGUUUCGGCCAAUGGAGUGAAUUACUUAGUGGCGGACUGGUGAGUAACGCGUGAGGAACCUGCCUUUCAGCGGGGGACAACAGUUGGAAACGACUGCUAAUACCGCAUAACACAUUUGAGGGACAUCCCUUGAAUGUCAAAGAUUUAUUGCUGAAAGAUGGCCUCGCGUCUGAUUAGCUAGUUGGUGAGGUAACGGCCCACCAAGGCGACGAUCAGUAGCCGGACUGAGAGGUUGACCGGCACAUUGGGACUGAGAUACGGCCAGACUCCUACGGGAGCGAGCAGUGGGGAAUAUUGGGCAAUGGACGAAAGUCUGACCCAGCAACGCCGCGUGAAGGAAGAAGGCUUUCGGUGUAAACUUCUUUAAGGGGAAGAGUAGAAGACGGUACCCCUUGAAUAAGCCACGGCUAACUACGUAGCC
rnacentral:rRNA from 1 species